ensembl:lncRNA
AUAAUGUCAUUGUUCUAUUAUGUGUUUUAUCCUAUUAAAUGGGAGACGGAGGCUAAAAUCAACAUAUCAGAGGACAGUUGGCUAAAUAUAUGUAGGACACAGAUGGAAACUACUAGUUUGGGUUAUUGGAGGGAAUUCACGUGGAAAAUUUUUAUUAGGUUUUUUGUAACACCCAAAAUAAAAUACAAACAAAAAGGUCAACUUACAGAUGGAUACUGCUGGAGAAACUGUGGAGAAAACAUGGCAGAUCAUAUAUUUUGGAAAUGCCCAAUAAUCCAACCAUACUGGAGUGAAGUGGUCGAAUCAAUUUACUUGGUGCUGCGUGGACAGUAGCAAAAACCUGACGACAUGGGACCUGAAAAGAGGUGGAGGGGAGCUCCCCCAGACUGGGCAGAUCUGAGGGUUUCCCUGUGCCAUUAUGUUAUUGUCAGUGCGUAUUAUAUUUGUUUGUUUGUUUUUGUUUUUUUGCUGUUUUUGUUUUUUUCAUAUGGAUGACUGUCAUAAUUACAAAACUUUCAAUAAUAAAAAAAAAUCCUAUUGUAAAGUGUCCUUGGGUGUCUUGAAAGGUGCUUUAUUAAUAAAAUUUAUAAUUAUUAUUAUUUCGUCUGGGUCUCAGUAUAUUUCCUGCAUUUCCUUGACAGUCCAUUAUCUUACCUGCACUGUGUUCAGUUUUGCUUCCCCUGUCUGGUUAUGCCUGAUAUGUUUCCCAUCCUUUCAUUUUCUGGUGUCCUCUAUCUUCCUCUGCUUGUUGUUGUGUCGUGCCCUCAUGCUAUGUGUUCCCAAGUUAUCUGUGAGUUCUUUAGUCUCUCUGUUUUGGUUUCCACAUUGCGUGAGUUUAUGUUUUUUUGUGUCUUUGUUUUUUGUUGAGCUUUCAAGCUACAGCUUUGUUUCCAAGUUAGCAGCUCAAGAGACUUUCAGUGCUUUCUUAUAGGGGUGGGUUUUUAUAAUCGAUUCAUCGAUUAAAAUCAAUUCUGGCUUGGAUAACGUAAAAUCGAUUCAUUAAAAUCCUGAAUCGAUUUUUUAAUAUAAAUUUAUUUUGCCCGAAAUGCCAGAAUCUCUGGUGACAUCUCACAAAAUUUCAACAACCACCAAACAGUUAAGACAGUAAAUGAGAGCAGGUACAGGGAUUCUGCACAUAGACUUAAACACACAGCCCAACCCGCGGAUCAGAA